rnacentral:lncRNA from 1 species
CCCUCAUCUUCCACCACAUCUCCGCCUAAUUGCAUCAUUAACAAUUUCUUCAUCAUCAAUUCUUGUCAUUAUCCAAAGUUCUCUGCUCUAUUUCACCUAAUUCUUAUAUCUAUUUAACAAUGGAGUAUCAGUAGAAAAAUAGAAGAAAAAUUAUUCAUGAUUUACUUGAAUCUUAGGGCCUUUAUCUUUUACUUUUUUU